rnacentral:snRNA from 1 species
AUACUUACCUGGCAGGGGAGAUACCAUGAUCACGAAGGUGGUUUUCCCAGGGCGAGGCUUAUCCAUUGCACUCCGGAUGUGCUGACCCCUGCGAUUUCCCCAAAUGUGGGAAACUCGACUGCAUAAUUUGUGGUAGUGGGGGACUGCAUUCGCGCUUUCCUCUG